rnacentral:rRNA from 1 species
GGGAUAACACCUGGAAACAGAUGCUAAUACCGCAUAGGUCAUUUGACCGCAUGGUCAAAUGAUUAAAGAUGGCUCUGCUAUCACUUCUGGAUGGACCUGCGGCGUAUUAGCUAGUUGGUAAGGUAACGGCUUACCAAGGCAAUGAUACGUAGCCGAGUUGAGAGACUGAUCGGCCACAUUGGGACUGAGACACGGCCCAGACUCCUACGGGAGGCA